rnacentral:rRNA from 1 species
AUUGAACGCUGGCGGCAUGCCUUACACAUGCAAGUCGAACGGCAGCAUGAUCUAGCUUGCUAGAUUGAUGGCGAGUGGCGAACGGGUGAGUAAUACAUCGGAACGUGCCCUGUAGUGGGGGAUAACUAGUCGAAAGAUUAGCUAAUACCGCAUACGACCUGAGGGUGAAAGUGGGGGACCGCAAGGCCUCAUGCUAUAGGAGCGGCCGAUGUCUGAUUAGCUAGUUGGUGAGGUAAAGGCUCACCAAGGCGACGAUCAGUAGCUGGUCUGAGAGGACGAUCCGCCACACUGGGGCUGAGACACGGCCCAGACUCCUACGGGGGGAAGCAGUGGGGAAUUUUGGAAAAUGGGGGCAACCCUGAUCCAGCAAUGCCGCGUGUGUGAAGAAGGCCUUCGGGUUGUAAAGCACUUUUGUCCGGAAAGAAAUCGCACUUACUAAUAUUAGGUGUGGAUGACGGUACCGGAAGAAUAAGGACCGGCUAACUACGUGCCAGCAGCCGCCGUAAGAC